rnacentral:tRNA from 1 species
GAGCCGGUAGCUCAGUCUGGUAGAGCAUGGAAUGCGUCUUGGCAAAGGCGUUAACAGCAAAAACUUUCCUUUGGGUGGAUAAGGUCGCGGGUUCGAAUCCCGUCCGGUUCA